CUCGCAACUCAACUCUUUGUCUGAUUGGCUCUCACGUCUGUCAGUCAUCGCCUGACGAAUCUUCCUGCGAUGUGUAAAAUGCUCUCAUACUUGUUUACACAGAGAAUUGUUUUCAACGCAGAACAACGACGUUUCAAUACAGGACACGUAAGUGGAACAUGGCAUCGAGUUGAGACCAGAUGUAGGAGUUAUAAGGAGCACUCAAAGGCACAAAUUUGUCGUACAUGCCAUGGACCAGCAGUAUGGGUACGGUCAGCUCUGCGUGAUAAACUUCAUCCCCUUCUGGCCAGUACUGACCGCUCAUCAUCGCUCGCAGCACAAAUGGAGAAACGUUAAAUGCAUUUCCCUCUUUCAGCAGUUGUUUCUCUUUCGCACCCUGCCUGGCAAAACCAGCUCUAUGUGAAAGAUCAGGAGAAGAAACACAGGAAAUCUCCAGGCCAGACAUGGAGAGAGACAGUGCAGGACACAUGAGGGCAGCUGAAAGAUGGAGCACAGGCUGGGUUCAAGUGCCGUGGGUCCUCCUCCAUUAAUCAUAACCACCUUAUGCACCUGCUCCGGGUACUCGUGA